AUGGGCGCAAGCCUGAUGCAGCGACGCCGCGUGAGGGAUGACGGCCUUCGGGUUGUAAACCUCUUUCAGCAGGGAAGAAGCGAAAGUGACGGUACCUGCAGAAGAAGCGCCGGCUAACUACGUGCCAGCAGCCGCGGUAAUACGUAGGGCGCAAGCGUUGUCCGGAAUUAUUGGGCGUAAAGAGCUCGUAGGCGGUUUGUCGCGUCUGCUGUGAAAGCCCGGGGCUAAACUCCAGGGUGUGCAGUGGGUACGGGCAGGAUAGAGUGCAGUAGGGGAGACUGAAAUUCCUGGUGUAGCGGGAAAAUGCGCAGAUAUCAGGAGGAACACCGAUGGCGAAGGCAGGUCUCUGGGCUGUUACUGACGCUGAGGAGCGAAAGCAUGGGGAGCGAACAGGAUUAGAUACCCUGGUAGUCCAUGCCGUAAACGUUGGGCACUAGGUGUGGGGGACAUUCCACGUUUUCCGCGCCGUAGCUAACGCAUUAAGUGCCCCGCCUGGGGAGUACGGCCGCAAGGCUAAAACUCAAAGGAAUUGACGGGGGCCCGCACAAGCGGCGGAGCAUGCGGAUUAAUUCGAUGCAACGCGAAGAACCUUACCAAGGCUUGACAUACACCGGAUGGUUCCAGAGAUGGUUCGUCCCUUCGGGGCUGGUGUACAGGUGGUGCAUGGUUGUCGUCAGCUCGUGUCGUGAGAUGUUGGGUUAAGUCCCGCAACGAGCGCAACCCUCGUUCUAUGUUGCCAGCACGUGAUGGUGGGGACUCAUAGGAGACUGCCGGGGUCAACUCGGAGGAAGGUGGGGAUGACGUCAAAUCAUCAUGCCCCUUAUGUCUUGGGCUUCACGCAUGCUACAAUGGCCGGUACAAUGGGUUGCGAUACUGUGAGGUGGAGCUAAUCCCAAAAAGCCGGUCUCAGUUCGGAUUGGGGUCUGCAACUCGACCCCAUGAAGUCGGAGUCGCUAGUAAUCGCAGAUCAGCAACGCUGCGGUGAAUACGUUCCCGGGCCUUGUACACACCGCCCGUCAAGUCACGAAAGUCGGUAACACCCGAAGCCGAUGGCCUAACCCUUUGUGGGGGAGUCGUCGAAG
rnacentral:rRNA from 1 species